rnacentral:lncRNA from 1 species
GCCUGUCAGGGUUGUUGGAAAACAGAAAUUUCAAGUGUAGUGAGCUAACCUGGCACUGUAUCAGACGUCUAGGCAAAUAAUUGCCUGUUUGCUGUUGGAGUCUGUUAUAUGUUGUGCAUUUUUGGUGGCUCUCUACAGUUCUGGUUCUCUUAUCUUCCUAAUAGUUCUUCUUUAGACACCGUCCCUGGAACCUCUGCUUGGGUUGCACAUGUAAAUUUCACCGACGGUUCAGCCCUGGUGGUGAGCAGCCUGUUACGUGCAGGCUCAUGUGGGGGACCAGUUUGCUUUCUUUUGGGUGGGGUGUCAGGUUUAUGAGGGUCCAGCUGGUGGAGGGCUCUGAUUAUGUGGUUUUGACUCAGCAGUUUCCUUACUGUCUGAGAGCUGUCAUCAGAGCUUAGACUGUGCAGGAGGAAGUGAUAGAAAAGGAAAGUGUACAGUGCCGUUUUUGCACUGAGGCCCCUAUUUUAGGAAUAAACUCUAGGGGUCAGAAAUGUUGACGUUUAGAUUAAAUCUGACUUUUCUCAUUUUCUGAUCUAUAUUUUGUUUCCAGAAUGGUUAAUGUAACUCCUACUAGAAUAAACAAUGGCAUAUAUUUCA